CAGUCAGUGCAGUUACGGAACUUUUGUCGGUCGAUUUUCACUUUGUUUUUCGCGUUUCCACGAUAUUAAAGCGGAUUUUUUUUAGGAAAGUGACGAAUUUCAAAAGGAACAAGGUGGUGCCGCUAGCAAAGGUUUUCAUAUCGACAUGAUGUCAAAGGCAGAAUUCUAGUAAGAACCAGCGGAAGACUUCGACGGUGGACCACAGGAACCACAAUCAAGUCGGAUCCGUGCGUUUCACUUCCUCGACCGGUUGUCGGACUUCCCCAAGCUCGAUGAUGUGCAUCCGGUCUGACGAAUGUUCAGUACGUAACCUGCAGCAUAACGUGAGUACAUUGAGCGCUUGACGUCACCCAAGACCACUGGCUGCUCCGCUAUGUUAUUUUCCACGAUGGCAACUCAUCAGAAACUGACCUGCGAGUUUCGGUCCUCUUACCUUUCCCCGCAUCGGAAUGUCAUAUUCACGAUGGCUCUUUGAUCUAGUUGAUAUUGCGAUUACAUGUCAGAGCUGCGGAUAGACUGAUCAAGACAACGCAUCAAAAAACAUACAAACGAAGUACUCUUGUACAUUUACUCCAGGCAGUGACUCAAACGUGUGCUAUAACUACGCCCAAUCAAGCACACAGAAAUGAAUCAUUACAAAUGCUCUGAGUAACUGCAGCGAAGCAUCAGCGAGGGUCAAAGUGGACAACAUUGCUCUCAUCUUGAAAACGGUCGACUGUCAGCGCCCAAACUACAAUCAAAUUAUUCCGGUCCUGUUGGAUGACGGUAUCGAUUAUUUGCUAGAAAAGUGUCCAAUGAUACCGGGAACUCCUCUGAAACCCAUGUUGGCGCAUUCCACAAAAGGCAUACAGAAAGAGUUGGAUUGUUUCGAUGGGAUAGAUUUUACCUGCAAAUGGAAGUACGAUGAAGAACGCGUUCAGAUCCAUUUGCUAGAGGAUGGCAGAGUUAACAUCUACAGCCGAAACCAGAAGAAUAACACCAGCAGAUAUCCGGACGUCAUUGCCCGGUUGGGUCAUCUGAAACCGACCUGCGAGUUUCGAGUAAGAAGCCGCUCACCUUUCGUCGCAUCGCAAGGCCAUAUUCAGGAUGGUUCCAUUACAUGUGGGCAUAAUAUUAUGUUAUUAAAAUAAAUUCAUAUUAUAUAUCUAUUAUAUAAUAAUAAUAAUAAAAAAACAAAUAAAUAUCAAACCAAAUUAAAUAAAAAUUAA